AAUAAUCACCUGUUCAGAGAGACUAAAUAGGUGGGUCAGCGUCUGCUUGAAGCCCUCAGCUCAGAAGUCUGUUAGCCUCUGAUCCCACUUUGCACCAUAUCUUUGUGUCCGUUUCUUAAUUCCUUCAGUGCCACUGAGUUGGGGUCUCUAACACGGAGCUGAUCAGGAAGGGAGGAAGGUGUGAGUCGAACCCUGGUUGAUCAUGUUUUGGAAACUCCAGGAAACAUCAAAUGAUGUAGACAACGUCCCACUCAAGCUCCUUCCAAGUUGGAAAAUCUCCUUCCGACUUCUGCUCUGGAGCUGCUAUUUGAUGCUUUUGAAACCUGUGCCAAAAGGAACCUAACAGGACCUGAUACCACCACUUGUCUCCUUUAAGACGUGGUCCUUUUCCUCCACUUUUUCAAUAUUCCAAGACUUAAAGCACAUUAUUUUACGUUGCUACUUUUUUCCUUUACAGUCCUGAAAUGUGUUUCUCAUGUUUAAUUUCUCUGCCAUUUCCUUAUUCUUUCCAGGAGGAUUCAGCCAGAUCCCCACAAAUACAAACAUUUCUAACUGAGUAACCUUCCCUCUCUAAUAUGUGCGGAUUGUUUAAAUUUUAUUUUUAAUUGAAAAACAAUAAUUGUAUAUGUUUGUGGGAUACAAUGUGAUGUACUGAUGUAUCAUAUGUUGUGGAAUGAAUUGUUUUUCUAGAAUGAAGACUUUUUUUCCUUUAACUUUUUGAGUAUUUUGUGCCCCAUAGGUUUGUUUUCUCAAAAUAAUCUUUCAUUUUUUGUUGUGAUAGUAAAAUGGUUUCAGUUCUUUCAAAUGCUUGUGGGUGGUGAACCUUUGUUCAAAC
rnacentral:lncRNA from 13 species